rnacentral:misc_RNA from 2 species
AACGCACAUUGCGCCCUCUGGUAUUCCGGGGGGCAUGCCUGUUCGAGCGUCAUUACAACCCUCAAGCUCUGCUUGGUAUUGGGUGUCACUGUUUUGGUGCACCCUAAAAUCAGUGGCGGUGCCACCUGGCUUCUAGCGUAGUAAUACUUCUCGCUAUGGAGUUUAGGUGUAUGCUUGCCAUCAACCCCCAAUUUCAAAUGGUUGACCUCGGAUCAGGUAGGGAUACCCGCUGAACUUAA